AAAUUUUAAUGUAAACUUAAAUGUUAAUCUGCAGAGGUACAGCUCUGCAGAGUAAGAUUACAACCUUGAUUAGUGAGUAAACUUAUUUAAUAAUCAUAGUCGGCCUAAAAGCAGCCACCAAUUAAGAAAGCGUUCAAGCUCAACAAUAAAAUUCAUAUUUAAUUCAAAAAAUAACAUAAACUCCUAGUAUAACCACUGGAUUAUUCUACUUACUCGUAGAAGAAAUACUGUUAAAAUGAGUAACAAGAUUUAUAUCUCCAUACACACGUGUAUAUCAGACCGAAUCCCAACUGAUAGUUAACAAUUAAAUAAACCUACAUACUAAUAAACAAUUUACCAUUACAUUGUUAACCCAACACCGGAGUGUGCAUAAGGAAAGAUUAAAAAAAGUAAAAGGAACUCGGCAAACAUAAACCCCGCCUGUUUACCAAAAACAUCACCUCUAGCAUUACCAGUAUUAGAGGCACUGCCUGCCCAGUGACAUUAGUUUAACGGCCGCGGUAUCCUGACCGUGCAAAGGUAGCAUAAUCAUUUGUUCCUUAAUUAGGGACUUGUAUGAAUGGCCCCACGAGGGUUUAACUGUCUCUUACUUUUAAUCAGUGAAAUUGACCUUCCCGUGAAGAGGCGGGAAUAUAAAAAUAAGACGAGAAGACCCUAUGGAGCUUAAAUUAAGGUGUUCAACAAAAUUUCAACCUAAUUCAACAGAAAUAACAACAUUUUAACUGAACAAUAAAUUUUGGUUGGGGUGACCUCGGAGCAUAAUAAAACCUCCGAGCAAUUUAACUUAGACUUACCAGUCAAAGUAAUACAAUCUAUUGAUCCAAUCAUAUUGAUCAACGAAACAAGUUACCCUAGGGAUAACAGCGCAAUCCUAUUUGAGAGUUCAUAUCGACAAUAGGGUUUACGACCUCGAUGUUGGAUCAGGACAUCCAAAUGGUGUAGCAGCUAUUAAAGGUUCGUUU
rnacentral:rRNA from 1 species